rnacentral:rRNA from 1 species
AUACGGAGGGUGCAAGCGUUAUUCGGAAUCACUGGGCGUAAAGGACGCGUAGGCGGGUUGGCAAGUCAGAUGUGAAAUCCUACAGCUUAACUGCAGAACUGCAUUUGAAACUGCUAACCUAGAGUAUGGGAGGGGGAGAUGGAAUUAGUGGUGUAGGGGUAAAAUCCGUAGAUAUCACUAGGAAUACCGAAAGCGAAGGCGAUUUCCUGGAACAUAACUGACGCUAAGGCGUGAAAGCGUGGGGAGCAAACAGGAUUAGAUACCCUAGUAGUCC